rnacentral:lncRNA from 1 species
UGCUAAGUUGGUGGUCAUUUGUUAUAGCAGCAACAGGAAAGUAAUACGGAGAGUGAGACUUCUCAAUGGAGACAAAUGAGAUUUGUGAGGGAUCAUCUUCGAGUAGGGAGGAGAGGGCCGAGGGCGAUUUUAACAUGUCAGGUCUGAAGAGCAUGCCCUGCAACCCAGCAACUGUGCUCCAGGGUAGGGGUGCAAUCGGACAGAGUUUACAGAUGGAGAGCCAGACACCUGAAGAUUGCAGACUUGCCCUGACUAUCCAACUGUUAAGACAGAGCAGGAUCCCGGAGACGGAGGAGACAAGAGUCUGCACAGGACUUCCUGGUCUUGGAUCAGGAUCUGCUCGUAUGCGCUGCUUCCACAGCCUGCCUGUUCUGGUUCUAAAGCAGCUGUCUGAUAGAAAUAUUAUGACACAAAUACAAAAAAUCUAAGAGGAAAGUCAAAAGAAAAAGAACUACAGUGAG